rnacentral:rRNA from 1 species
CCUACGGGUGGCAGCAGUGAGGAAUAUUGGUCAAUGGCCGGAAGGCUGAACCAGCCAAGUCGCGUGAGGGAAUAAGGCCCUAUGGGUCGUAAACCUCUUUUGUCAGGGAGCAAAGGCGUCCACGUGUGGACGAGAGGAGAGUAGCUGCAGAAAAAGCAUCGGCUAACUCCGUGCCAGCAGUCGCGGUAAUACGGAGGAUGCGAGCGGUAUACGGAUUUAUUGGGUGUACAGGGUGCGUAGGCGGAGGGUCAAGUGAGCGGUAAAAGUUCGGGGCUCAAACCCGUCGUGCCGUUGAAACUGACGCCCGUGAGUCAGUGAGAAGUAAGCGGAAUGCGUGGUGUAGCGGUGAAAUGCAUAGAUAUCACGCAGAACGCCGAUUGCGAAGGCAGCUUACCGGAGCUAAACUGACGCUGAGGUACGAAAGUGCGGGUAUCGAACAGGAUUAGAUACCCGGGUAGUC